rnacentral:piRNA from 1 species
UGACCAAAACAUAGUCCAGGCCCGACAUC